UGAGAAUUUGUUCUCGUCCUCUGGUAUCUUCUUAUUCCACAUCAAAUUAGUAUCAGAGCUAAAACUCCUAGGUGUGUUGUUUUUCUUCGAAAAUUUCCUUACAAAAUUUUCAAGCCCCUCACAAGUCUAUCCCUUGAGUUAUUUUGUUCUGCUGGCCCAUGGUUCUCCAUGAAACAGAGCUUAUUCCUCACGAAAUAGUCCAAGCCACUGUCUUCACUGACCCAUUACCAUCCAUCCACCCAAAAACCAAACAACACCAGCAAUCUACCAAAAAUCCUCGGGCAAGUCCAGUCACUAGAAAGCCCAGAUACAGAGAUCCGUUCGGGUCAGAUCCCAACCCAAAUCAUGACCUGCAUGAUACUCAGAAGUUUUCGGCUCGAACCUCCCCCACACUUCACCAAUUGCUG
rnacentral:misc_RNA from 1 species